GUUGUAUAAUUUUUAGUUGGAUUUUUACCUAGCAAGAAAAUAUGAAGAAAACUUGAGCAAAAAUACUCUAAAUACACACUAAAUACAUUUCGAAAAGCAAAGGAUACCAUAUUUUUAGUGUGUGGGUUGCAUUUUUUGCUUCAAUCUUUGAUUGUCGCUCAUGGUCGAGUUCUCGUGGGGGAUCGGAUUAUCACGUUUCGGCAAGCUAACUUGGAUCAAUUGCAUCUUCAGCAUAAAUAUUGGAUCGGGUUACUACGUUGUGGCACAACUAUGGGAUCGAAUUUUCAUGUUCUAGUAAGCUAACUGGGAUCGUGUACCACGCUGGUGCACUAACAGUUUGAGUUUAAAUUCUAUGAGAGGACCAUUACAUUGGGUACCGUGAGAGGACAAACUACUUGUGAUAAUUGUAUUUAUUGUUUAUGAACUAUGAUAAUUGUGAGAGGACAAACUACUUGUGAUAAUUGUAUUUAUUGUUUAUGAACUAUGACUUAUGAAUUCUCAAAGAGUUGUACUUAGUGUGAGUAGGGGAUUGGGACUCCAUUUAUGCAUUGCACAAGCGAAUUUUAAGAGCGGUUGCCGUUUGGUUCUCUUAUGCUA